rnacentral:rRNA from 1 species
AUGCUCUGAUUUGCUUAUUGCACCACAUGUGUUUUUCUUUGAAACAAACUUGCUUUGGCGGUGGGCCCAGCCUGCCGCCAGAGGUCUAAACUUACAACCAAUUUUUUAUCAACUUGUCACACCAGAUUAUUACUUAAUAGUCAAAACUUUCAACAACGGAUCUCUUGGUUCUCGCAUCGAUGAAGAACGCAGCGAAAUGCGAUACGUAAUAUGAAUUGCAGAUAUUCGUGAAUCAUCGAAUCUUUGAACGCACAUUGCGCCCUCUGGUAUUCCGGAGGGCAUGCCUGUUUGAGCGUCGUUUCUCCCUCAAACCGCUGGGUUUGGUGUUGAGCAAUACGACUUGGGUUUGCUUGAAAGACGGUAGUGGUAAGGCGGGAUCGCUUUGACAAUGGCUUAGGUCUAACCAAAAACAUUGCUUGCGGCGGUAACGUCCACCACGUAUAUCUUCAAACUUUGACCUCAAAUCAGGUAGGACUACCCGCUGAACUUAAGCAUAUCAAUAAGGCGGGAGGAA